rnacentral:lncRNA from 1 species
CCAGAGGUCAAGCCCCAACGUGCCAAAGCAUCACAGUCACACCACGCACUCCCACUCCGGUCCCGCACGGCCCAUCACCCACUCCUGCAGCUACUCCAAGAAGAGGAAGAACCUGAAAAGACAGGGGAGCAAGAGGAAGGCGGUGAAGAGGAGCCAGCGGGUUGGCAAAACACAGAGGUGGCACUCAGGGCGGAAACACAACUGAGAGGCACCCCGCGGCUCAUUCCUGUGUCGGUUUCACCCAAAUGAGGACGCCAUCCCGCGUGGAACACUAGAAGGAAAGCGUUCUGCAGGAACACGUUAACUACAGGGAUUUCUAUGCAACACUGAUUAAAGCUUGCACACUGGAUGACUCUUCUUGUGUUGGCAUUUUAAUUGCACUAAAGGUGUCUAGCGUUCGGGGCCCUGGUUUGGAAGCAGGAAGCCGGGAAGAUGCUGCAUAGGGAGUAGGGACAGGCCACGUGACCUCAGGAAAGCAUAAGGAGCUAAUGCUGGCACAGGGGCAGAAACGAAUGAGGGGUGGGGACUCCGAGGAGCCUGUGAAGUAGACAAGCAACACUCUGCUUGGGCAGAGCCCUCCUGGGUGCACACACAGGGGAUGUCCAUGGGCCCGCACACUGUUUAUGUGCUCCCCACGCAAUAGUCCACCCAGGAGCAUGGCGGGAGACAGGCGGGAAGAGGGUCAGGAAUGUGCAUUCUGCAGUCCAGAGCAUCCUGAAUUUGAAUCCUGGAUCACUGAGUUGCCCUGCUGUGUGACCUUGGGCUGGGGAUGAACCUCUCUGAGCCACACUUGUUUCAACAAACUUUUACUAAGGAACCGAAUGUGUCUGGGGGCUGUGCUAGGCUCUGCGAACGCAGAAGACACACAAGGCCCUGUGACAAGGUCCAGCGUGUUUCUAAAGAUGCUGUUGGAGGCUGUUGUCGAGGACAGAAGGGACAAGAGAAAGAGCUGCUAGCCGGGUGUGGCCAGGAGAGAGGGACCACUGGCCUGGACGGAAGGGUGACACCGGAGAUCUUCCGAGACAGGGAUGACGGGUCUACUGGCAGCUUCUCAUCAAGCCUUCCGAGGACAGCCGAGGAGCCAGCCUGUCACCACCUGGAGUCCAGCCACCGCUCCUGUCAUCGCUCCGGGGCCGGUCAGGCUCCUCUGUCCCAGAGAAGUUUCUCCUUGGGCUGGAGUGUCCCCACAGCACAUCCCUCCCCCACUGAGACAUGCCAUCUUUCAGGCUGUCGGGGCCACCGGCACAGCAAAGCCACCUCUCCAGGCGGGGUCUGGCCAACCCCCGGGGCCCCCCCCAGAUCACCUCCACCAAGUCCCACCGGCUCCAGGAGAGCCUUUCUCAGCUGGCCAAUGGCGACAUGAAGCUUCCACCUCACAACCAGGGGCAGAGCAAAUAAGGCGACAGACCCCAAAGCUGCCACCUGGCCCCGCCCCAGCAGGGGCUCGCUCGGCAAACAGCCGUUCCUUCCCAGGUCUCCCGGGGUACGGGGGCUGAGCCCAGAACCCAGGCCGUGGACUCCCCGAGCAGUGCUCUCUUCCACAAAGCAUCAACGUCCCAGUGUGGCACCCAUUUCAGGGGCUAGCGUGGCGACCCCCACAGGGGUCAGGGAUCAACAUGGGGUGUGUUCCAAGGCCUCUACUGCAGGUCAUUGAGGCUAACGCCACAGCUGCCUGGAAGGCCAGCGCCAGGCAGCUCUGCCCACACCCAAUCCUGCAGUGUCUCCUGCAAUUAGGGGGAAAAUCCAAAUGCCUCCACCCCUACAAGGGCCUGCCCCCCCCCUCACUCUCCACACCAGCUACGCACGGCUCCCCCCAGGUUCUCCAGUGUGCCCAGCACUCCCACCACUGGGACUUCUUCUCUCUCCCUAGAGCCCUCUUUAUCCGGCUUCUAGAAAGACCUCAACUCUGCUGUCACCGCCUCCAAGAGGCCUUCCCUGACUGCCUUCUCUCACUCCUCCCGCACUGCACCAACAGCUCCUCGCUCCCUUUCUCCCUGUUCAUUGCCCCCCAGCACCUGCCACCAUCUGAGAUGAUGGCGUGAAUUCGCCGCCUGUCUGCUCGAAGACCCCUGGGCCCCUGGUGCCGGCAGAUAGGAGGCACUCUAUAAAUACUUGCAGAAUAAAUACUGAAGGAGGAAAAUAGAUACGCUAUUC